UUUGUUUGGACAGCAGCUACUUAGUUCCCUAUAUAAGAGAAGCAGGGGCAGCCACUCAGAACACAAGUUCAAGGACAAGAAAGCCUCUCACUUUUAAUUCAUCAAUCUCAACUAAGAACAAUCCGAUCAUCACAAAGGGUUUUGAUAAAAUGUAUAACAAAGCUUCAAAGUGCCUCCAGAAAUUAUAAAGGUCUUACCGAUUGUACAUGCUCUUAGGAUUGCAAAAUGAAGGACAAGAAGGACAAGUCUUGGUAUCGCUUAGGUGCAUUUGUUGCUGGUGCUGCUACAGGAAUUGGUCUGCUGGCUUGGGGUUUAUCUGCACUUGCUUCAUCAGCUGGUUCAGAGUCAGAGGAAAAGAAGAAAACAAUGAAAGCUCCUGGAAAAGAUGAAAUCAUAGAGAGGGAAGAGUUUGAGCGUGAUGAUAGUAUUAAAAGCACACCACAAAGUAGCACACAAAUAUCCUAUUAAUUUUCCUUAUUAACACUAGGAUUUGUCAAUUGUAGCAUAUGAAAAUAAGGGUCUUUCCCGCAGAAGAUUGUUUUAUCUAACUACUUAAAAUGUCACAAAAACUGGUUGGUCCCUACUGACCAGCCACCAAAAAAUAAUUAUUAGACUGACUUACACUGGUCUAAAGUCUAUGAAAUUUUAUAUGCAAA